GAGGGAAUCACAUUUCAGCUGGCAAGAAUUUUCGACCCCAGUUCCACAUAGUUGCGAUCAGCUUUCCUUAAUUUCAGUCUGUUCCCAGUUUGACGAUUUCUGCUUCACCUUCAAAGAUUCACCUUCAAAGAUCCUAUCUUCAAACCUAUUUGAUUCUAUUAAAUUUCACUGCAAACCCUCUGAAAAAUUAGGGGGAUUCGAUUACAUGCACCUUUGAAGUGGUGAAAAUGAAAUUGGGUUCUCCAAUUUUGGUUCGAGUCCCUUGCUCAGUUUGUAUCUUCCAGGUAGUCAUCGGACAACGAAUCAACCGGACCCAUGUCAAGUCUUUCACCAAUUCAUCUUUACCAGUCGCUAGGGGAUUCCUGAUGUGACUGGACGGGAUAAGAUAAGUUCAGCCACCUGAAGAGACCACUAUUGAUGGGAGGUUUACAUAUAGACGUCAUGUCCUCCUCCAAAAUACUAGGAGAGAAGGUGUAAGGGUGAUUCUCUGAGGAGAUCUUACCACCAACUUUGAUAUCCAAAAGAUUACCGAGUUAGGAUUAUAAAUUGAGUUAGACGAAUGGUAGAAACGGAUAUUGUUCUAUUUUCCUUAUGAUACAAAUGAAAUUGUAGUUGGUUGAAGAAAAAUGGGAAGAAUGAAACCAGCACUGAUUAUGGGGUGAUGAAUAUUUCAGGCUACUAUAAGUUCUCAUCUCUGGGAGAAAGAUGAUGAGUCAGGUGUAUACUCUUGAUGGCAUACUGUCAAGAGCAGAAAAAUAGUACGAUAUGAUGGAAGGAGUAAGAAGACGGAUUGAGGAGGUACAGAUUUAAACCUUCUUGGCUCUGUUUCUAAUCCCUUAAUUUUGGUUUUGGUGGUAGCAAUGAUAAGAGUGGGUUUCAUGUCAUGAAUUUUAGAUAUGGUUCAUUUUAACAUGGAUAAUCUCAUACUAUUUGUGGUUUAAGAGGUGAAUUUGUGAUAUAGAGAACAUAUUGGAACUUCUGGAAUUGAUAGGUGUUAUGUACCUUCUGGAAUUUUUCCAUGUACCAUAAAACUGAUAUGAAAGCAACUUCUUCCCGUUCUUGACAGCUCUGAAAUUAAUCUUUUUUGGUAUAUAUACUUUUAUCUGGUCUGGAGCUAAUUAAAUUAUAUGUAGUUUCAUGCACAUGUUGGAUUGAUGUACAUUAUAUGACGACCCGAUGUUUCAGGCUUUAAUCAUCUUUUGUUGAUCAUUGUGGCACUUCGGUUAAAUCUGCAGAUAAUACAGAUGAAAGUAGCUUUCGAAUGUGAGAAGCAAAUGGGACGAAAGUAGCUUUCCUAAACUCUAUUCUGAAUUUCUUUUCCUUUUGUGAUUCAGAGGUAAACACAUGAAUACGAUCGACCGAGAAAAGCAGGGAAAACACAAGAGCAACACAUGAGACUAUAGUCUAGGUGCAAAAAUAACAACUACCUGGUAU